AUGGACGACGCGUGCGCGGCGGUUCCAAGCGUGGUGACCGCACCCAUCUGACGACCGCUCGCUACGUUUUUUGGUC
rnacentral:sRNA from 1 species